ensembl:snRNA U6 U6 spliceosomal RNA
GGGCUCUCGCUUUAGCAGCACAUAUACUAAAAAUGAUACAGAAAAGAUUAGCUUGGUCCCUGCACAAGGACGACACUCAAAUAUUACAUAUUAUAGUUUA